UCAUAUUUUUGAAAUUCAUAGCGACAGUCAUACCGACUAUCGAGUACGAUUAUACAAUGGACGUCGACCUUGGCAGUACAAGAUGAUUAUUGGUUGGCUUGAAGCUUGUCACUUGGCUCGGGAAAAGGAAGCACCCUACCAGAAGGCACAGGGAGGCUGAAUUGCGUGUUUAUGGUUGAACAUUUGUGCAUAUGUGCUUGUUCCUUGGAUCGGUUUGCAUUUGUGAACAAACUCUGAAAAGCUCAAAGGCAAGACCCAUCUUGUACAUUC